rnacentral:rRNA from 1 species
GGGGUGCAGCAGGCGCGAAACCUUUACAAUGCACGCAAGUGUGAUAAGGGAAUCCUAAGUGCNUNUNUUUUACAUAGGCUUUUGCCAAANGUAAAUACUUUGGCGAAUAAGUGGUGGGUAAGUCUGGUGCCAGCCGCCGCGGUAACCCCAGCNCCACAAGUGGGGAUCGAUUUUAUUGGGUCUAAAGCGUUCGUAGCAGGUUCUGUAAAUUUCUUGUGAAA